rnacentral:misc_RNA from 1 species
GCAAACUUGGUCAUUUAGAGGAAGUAAAAGUCGUAACAAGGUUUCCGUAGGUGAACCUGCGGAAGGAUCAUUCAAAAUAAAAGUGAAUUUUAUGGCACUUUUUUAAAAAAAAAAUCCAUAUCCACCUUGUGUGCAAUGUAUUUAUAAAAGAGAAGAUAUUAGAUCAAAGUAAUUUGAUCCGCGUACUCUCUCUCUUUUAUAUUUCUUUUAUAUCAACACUCUUUAUUGCUUUGAAACCUGUUUGUCUGAAACAAAUUACUAUUCUUUGAAUAACUUAAUUCAAAAAUACAACUUUCAACAACGGAUCUCUUGGCUCUCGCAUCGAUGAAGAACGCAGC